GUAGCGAAAUUCCUUGUCAGGUAAGUUCUGACCCGCAUGAAUGGCGUAACGAUUUCUCCGCUGUCUCCAACAUCAACUCAGCGAAAUUGAAUUCUCCGUGAAGAUGCGGAGUACGUGUAGUUAGACGGAAAGACCCCGUGCACCUUUACUACAGCUUUACAGUGGUAUUAGGAAAACAAUGUGUAGGCUAGGUGGUAGACUUUGAAGCAGGAGCGCUAGCUCUUGUGGAGCUAUCCUUGAAAUACCACCCUGGCCCGUCUGGAAUCCUAACCGAGGCCCGUGAUCCGGGUCCGGGACACUGUCUGGUGGGCAGUUUGACUGGGGCGGUCGCCUCCUAAAAAGUAACGGAGGCGCACAAAGGUUCCCUCAGGCUGAUUGGAAACCAGCCGUAGAGUGCAAAGGCAGAAGGGAGCUUGACUGCGAGACCGACGGGUCGAGCAGGUGCGAAAGCAGGUCUUAGUGAUCCGGCGGUUCCGUAUGGAAGGGCCGUCGCUCAUCGAAUAAAAGGUACGCCGGGGAUAACAGGCUUAUCUCCCCCAAGAGUUCACAUCGACGGGGAGGUUUGGCACCUCGAUGUCGGCUCAUCGCAUCCUGGGGCUGGAGCAGGUCCCAAGGGUUUGGCUGUUCGCCAAUUAAAGCGGUACGCGAGCUGGGUUUAGAACGUCGUGAGACAGUUCGGUCCCUAUCCUCUGCAGCCGGAGGAGAUUUGAGAAAGGCUGUCCCUAGUACGAGAGGACCGGGACGGACGUAGCUCUAGUGUGCCAGUUGUUCCGCCAGGAGCAUGGCUGGUUGGCCACCUACGGAAGGGAUAACCGCUGAAAGCAUCUAAGUGGGAAGCCCGUUUCAAGAUGAGAUCUCCCACCGGGAAACCGGGUAAGGCCCGUGGCAGACCACCACGUUGAUAGGCCGGAGGUGUAAGCACGGCAACGUGUUCAGCCGACCGGUACUAAUCGGCCGAGGGCUUGGUUAC
rnacentral:rRNA from 1 species